rnacentral:rRNA from 1 species
UAGGGAAUCUUCGGCAAUGGGGGGAACCCUGACCGAGCAACGCCGCGUGAGUGAAGAAGGUUUUCGGAUCGUAAAGCUCUGUUGUUAAGGAAGAACGAGUGUGAGAAUGGAAAGUUCAUACUGUGACGGUACUUAACCAGAAAGGGACGGCUAACUACGUGCCAGCAGCCGCGGUAAUACGUAGGUGGCAAGCGUUGUCCGGAUUUAUUGGGCGUGAAGCGAGCGCAGGCGGUCAAUUAAGUCUGAUGUGAAAGCCCCCGGCUCAACCGGGGAGGGUCAUUGGAAACUGGUUGACUUGAGUGCAGAAGAGGAGAGUGGAAUUCCAUGUGUAGCGGUGAAAUGCGUAGAUAUAUGGAGGAACACCAGUGGCGAAGGCGACUCUCUGGUCUGUAACUGACGCUGAGGCUCGAAAGCGUGGGUAGCAAACAGG